GAUGAACGCUGGCGGCGUGCCUAAUACAUGCAAGUCGAGCGAACGGACGAGAAGCUUGCUUCUCUGAUGUUAGCGGCGGACGGGUGAGUAACACGUGGAUAACCUACCUAUAAGACUGGGAUAACUUCGGGAAACCGGAGCUAAUACCGGAUGAUAUUUUGAACCGCAUGGUUCAAAAGUGAAAGACGGUCUUGCUGUCACUUAUAGAUGGAUCCGCGCUGCAUUAGCUAGUUGGUAAGGUAACGGCUUACCAAGGCAACGAUGCAUAGCCGACCUGAGAGGGUGAUCGGCCACACUUGAACUGAUACACGGUCCUGACUCCUACGGGAGGCAGCAGUAGGGAAUCUUCCGCAAUGGGCGAAAGCCUGACGGAGCAACGCCGCGUGAGUUAUGAAGGUCUUCGGAUCGUAAAACUCUGUUAUUAGGGAAGAACAUAUGUGUAAGUAACUGUGCACAUCUUGACGGUACCUAAUCAGAAAGCCACGGCUAACUACGUG
rnacentral:rRNA from 1 species